UACGAAGGGGGCUAGCGUUGCUCGGAAUCACUGAGCGUAAAGCGCACGUAGGCGGAUUGUUAAGUCAGGGGUGAAAUCCUGGAGCUCAACUCCAGAACUGCCUUUGAUACUGGCGAUCUUGAGUCCGGGAGAGGUGAGUGGAACUCCGAGUGUAGAGGUGAAAUUCGUAGAUAUUCGGAAGAACACCAGUGGCGAAGGCGGCUCACUGGCCCGGUACUGACGCUGAGGUGCGAAAGCGUGGGGAGCAAACAGGG
rnacentral:rRNA from 1 species